UAAACAUGGAAAGUGGAGGUUCAGCCUUUAGAAGAAAAUGUGAAGGAAACAAGUGAGUUCAUGAGAAAUCCACCCAUUUGGAAGGAAAAUGGAAGGGAGAGGGCUUUGUGAAGCUUUCACCCGAUAGGAGAGGAAGAGUUGAGAAAGAAGAAAAGAGAAAGAAAUAAAAGAAGAAAGGAGGAUGAAGAAAAGAGAAAAAAAGGUUUAGCCUAGUGAACCCAAGACACGAAAGAUCUACAAAGAUUCAAAGGACCUGAGGCAUACAUGUUGGUAGAUCUUGGAAUGCAUAGUGAUUUUGGAGCUAAAUAAGCAAUAGCAAUGGUGACUGUAGAUGUGAGGAAGUUAUGAAUCAUAUUUGGAAAUUCAAGCUUGAAUCGAGACGUAAGCAUGCAAAGUGACUACAUUGUAUUGUAUAAGCUUUGGUUGGUUUAAGUAUAUGGAUUGUAUGAUAAAUGCUUGUGAGUAAUGUUGAUCAAAGCUAUGCGAUUUAGUUAAGGAUUAUUAGUUGAUAUGCUACCAUGUAUAAGUAUAAUUAAAUGUAUUGGGUUUGAAUUAUUGCUAGGAAGAGUAUAAGUAAGAAAAGUUUACCGCGGUGGUGUGCUGAAAAGGAAAUGAGUGAUCGGGAAGUAGAAUUAGCUAGACACGUACUUGAAUGAAUAACGACGUAGCAUCCCGCUAUUGUGAGAUGAGUAGAGGUUGUUUAUUUUAAAAUUUCAUUUAUUAUAUAUAUAUAUACGUGUUAGCUUACUUUAAAUGCAAAAUUAUGGACAACAUGAGUUGGUAGAAUGUUAGGCUUAUGAAUGCCAUGUUUG